rnacentral:tRNA from 2 species
GGUAGUCGUAUCCGGUGGUACGGCCGGGCUUCAAACCCGGUUGGGGGUGUCAGACACUCCCGGGUCGGUUCGACUCCGGCUGCCUUCCGCCA